GCUGGUCUCCAAACGGGGGCAUGUGCACGCUCUGUUUGUGCAUCCACUCACACCUGUGCACCUUCUGUAGUUCUGUGGCCUGGGGGACUCGUCCUCCUGCUGUGGUUCUGCAUCUUUACACUCACGCUGUGAUAAAGUCUAAUGGAAUGCAUGCCGCGUUUAACGCAAUACAAUACAACUUUCAGCAACGGAUCUCUUGGCUCUCGCAUCGAUGAAGAACGCAGCGAAAUGCGAUAAGUAAUGUGAAUUGCAGAAUUCAGUGAAUCAUCGAAUCUUUGAACGCACCUUGCGCCCUUUGGCUAUUCCGAAGGGCAUGCCUGUUUGAGUAUCAUGAACAUCUCAACUCCUCACGGUUUGCCCGUGAUGAGCUUGGACUUUGGGGGUCUUGCUGGCCUGCGGGUCGGCUCCUCUCAAAUGAAUCAGCUUGCCAGUGUUUGGUGGCGUCACAGGUGUGAUAACUAUCUACGCUUGUGGUUUUCCGCCAGGUAACCUCCAGCAAUGGGGGUUCACUGGAGCUCACAAAUG
rnacentral:rRNA from 1 species